GAUGAACGCUGGCGGCGUGCCUAACACAUGCAAGUCGAGCGAGACGUAUAUGGACGAAACUUCGGUCUAGGAAAUAUAUUGACAGCGGCGGACGGGUGAGUAACGCGUAGGCAACCUGCCCUUAACACAGGGAUAGCCUCGGGAAACCGGGAUUAACACCUGAUAAUGCCAAAUAGUCACAUGGCUGUUUGGCCAAAGAUUUAUCGGUUAAGGAUGGGCCUGCGUCUGAUUAGUUUGUUGGUGGGGUAACGGCCUACCAAGACUACGAUCAGUAGCCGACCUGAGAGGGUGAUCGGCCACAUUGGAACUGAGACACGGUCCAAACUCCUACGGGAGGCAGCAGUGGGGAAUAUUGCACAAUGGGCGAAAGCCUGAUGCAGCAACGCCGCGUGAGCGAUGAAGGCCUUUGGGUCGUAAAGCUCUGUCCUUGGGGAAGAAACAAAUGACGGUACCCAAGGAGGAAGCCCCGGCUAACUACGUGCCAGCCGCCGCAGUAA
rnacentral:rRNA from 1 species